rnacentral:rRNA from 1 species
AAACUUUCAACAACGGAUCUCUUGGUUCUCGCAUCGAUGAAGAACGCAGCGAAAUGCGAUAAGUAAUAUGAAUUGCAGAUUUUCGUGAAUCAUCGAAUCUUUGAACGGACAUUGCGGCCUUUGGUAUUCCAAAGGGCAUGCCUGUUUGAGCGUCAUUU